AGUGAACGCUGGCGGUAGGCCUAACACAUGCAAGUCGAACGGCAGCACAGUAAGAGCUUGCUCUUACGGGUGGCGAGUGGCGGACGAGUGAGGAAUACAUCGGAAUCUACUUUUUCGUGGGGGAUAACGUAGGGAAACUUACGCUAAUACCGCAUACGACCUACGGGUGAAAGCAGGGGAUCUUCGGACCUUGCGCGAUUGAAUGAGCCGAUGUCGGAUUAGCUAGUUGGCGGGGUAAAGGCCCACCAAGGCGACGAUCCGUAGCUGGUCUGAGAGGAUGAUCAGCCACACUGGAACUGAGACACGGUCCAGACUCCUACGGGAGGCAGCAGUGGGGAAUAUUGGACAAUGGGCGCAAGCCUGAUCCAGCCAUACCGCGUGGGUGAAGAAGGCCUUCGGGUUGUAAAGCCCUUUUGUUGGGAAAGAAAAGCAGCAGGUUAAUACCCCGCUGUUCUGACGGAACCCAAAGAAUAAGCACCGGCUAACUUCGUG
rnacentral:rRNA from 1 species